rnacentral:tRNA from 1 species
GGAGAAUUAGCUCAAAUGGUAGAGCACUUGCUUAGCAUGCAGAGGUAGUGGAAUCGAUACCUGCAUUCUCCA